rnacentral:rRNA from 1 species
AUGCAAGUCGAGCGAAGUAGUUUACUACUUAGCGGCGAACGGGUGAGUAAUACUUGGAUAACCUGCCUUAAGGUCUGGGACAACUACAGGAAACUGUAGCUAAUACCGGAUAUGACCACACUUACUAAGGUAAGAGUGGUAAAAGAUUUAUCGCCUUUAGAUGGGUCCAAGUCGCAUCAGGUUGUUGGUGGGGUAAUGGCCUACCAAGCCUAUGACGCGUAGCAGGUCUUAGCGGAUGAUCUGCCACAUGGGGACUGAGAUACGGCCCUGACUCCUACGGGAGGAAGCAGUGAGGAAUAUUGGGCAAUGGACGCAAGUCUGACCCAGCGAUGCCGCGUGAAGGAUGAAGGCCUUAGGGUUGUAAACUUCUGUCAGCAGGGAAGAUAAUGACGGUACCUGCAGAGGAAGCCCCGGCUAACUCCGUGCCAGCAGCCGCGGUAAUACGGAGGGGGCAAACGUUACUCGGAUUUACUGGGCGUAAAGGGUCCGUAGGCGGUUCUUUAAGUUAGAUGUGAAAGCUUGAAGCUUAACUUCAAAAUUGCAUCUAAAACUGGAGAACUAGGUUCUUGGAGAGGUUGAUGGAAUUACCGGUGUAGCGGUGAAAUGCGUAGAUAUCGGUAGGAACACCAGUGGCGAAAGCGAUCAACUGGCCAAGUAACGACGCUGGGGGACGAAAGCGUGGGUAGCAAACAGGAUUAGAUACCCUGGUAGUCCACGCCCUAAACGAUGAAUACUAGAUGUAGGAUUUAAUUCUGUAUCGUAGCUAACGCAUUAAGUAUU